rnacentral:lncRNA from 1 species
CACUGGGGCCCCACCUGGAGUCCCGGGCGCGCGGGGAGGGUGGCCUUCACGCCGCGUGGAUGACAGGGUCAUCCCGACGUCGGAACUAAGCGACGACCUUAGAAGGAGUGGAGGCCGGGCCUGUCAUCUUCCUGCGGGCCUGGCAGCAGCGUGGGGCGGUGGACCCAAUCUAAUCAUCAGCUCCUGAAAAAUGGAAAACCUUUUCCAACUGGUGAGAGGGAGAUGUGACAGUGAAGGCUCAGAGGGAGAUGCACUAUUGCUGGCCUUGAAGAUUGAGGAUGGAGUCAAGAGCUAAGGAAUGAACAGGACCUCCAGAAGCUAGAAAAGAAAAUGUCUGCCAAAUACACAAGUCUGAAUCACUUCAGGUUGUCCGUCAUAUUUUCAAGAUGGUGCUCUAUGCAAAAAACAGUACAGGUUACGACUCACAAAAUGACGUAAGUGCUUUUCUUGGAGACAACCAAGAUACUUCAAAUUGUAGCAGAAAUGCUUUAUGCCUACGUCCCGUGGCAUCACACACAAUAUUAAAAACAGUACAGGAUCAAGGGCAGAGAUUAGAUGGAAUUAAUAAUUUUUACUGCUCACGCCUGUAAUC